ACCAAGCUUUCUAGUUGUCUCCGGGUGCCAAAGGGCCAGAAGAGAAUCUCUGGCCACACUAUUCUCCUUGUUAGCUCUCCCUAGGGCCCCAGAACCUGGUUUCUGCCUCCCACUGUUCCCCUUUCUGGUUUUGUAGGUGACACUUGCUGCUUUGGGUUGGGUUACCUUUAGCAAGGUUUCCCAAAUACCUGUGAGCAGAGUAGGGCUGACUUGGGGUUCAUUAGAAUGUCUCGAGACACAUUCAACCUGCAGAUUCCCCAGCCCCUUUGAGAGCGGUGGUUCUGUACCUUGACUGCACAUUGAUACAGUGGACUUAAAGGGAAUGGUCUUGCCUGAGCCCUCCCAAAAGAUUCCGACUGGGUAGAUCUGCGCUUCUGCCUGGGCAUCAGGAUUUCAGCAAGCUAGGUGGAGGUGGCCUAGGAAUCUGUACUUUGAAGAAACGGUUCCUGCGAUUUUCCUGAGCAGCAAUGUUUGCAGACUUCAGGGUGGACUUCCUUCUCAUUGGUGAAGAGUGCCCAGGAUUUUCCCACCAAGGCGCUUUUGGAGUUAGAAGUUAGAGGGCCACUGAAGACUGGAAAUCAGGUGCCCUGGAGUUUAGAUUUCCAGGUUCCAGAAACCUUCGGGCUCCUGAGACUUUCAUUGUGCGAGAGGCUGGUCCUGUGGGCUUUGAAGGCAAAUAGACAUGGUUGAAAUCCUGACUCUACCCAUUGCUGUGGGAUUUGG